UCCGAGUUAACCCCGGCGGUCCCACGUGAGUUCCCGGCAUGACCCGCUGGCAACACGCGGCGAGGGUUGCGCUCGUUGCGGGACUUAACCCAACAUCUCACGACACGAGCUGACGACGACCAUGCACCACCUGUGAACCGGCCCCGAAGGGAACCCGCGUCUCCGCGGGCGUCCGGCACAUGUCAAGCCCAGGUAAGGUUCUUCGCGUUGCAUCGAAUUAAUCCGCAUGCUCCGCCGCUUGUGCGGGCCCCCGUCAAUUUCUUUGAGUUUUAGCCUUGCGGCCGUACUCCCCAGGCGGGAUGCUUAACGCGUUAGCUCCGACACAGGACCCGGAAAAAGGGCCCCACAUCCAGCAUCCACCGUUUACGGCGUGGACUAC
rnacentral:misc_RNA from 1 species